AAUAGAUACCCAGGUAGUCCCAGCUGUAAACGAUGCAGACUAGGUGUUUGGACGGCCACGUGCCGUUCUAGUGCCGCAGGGAAGCUGUUAAGUCUGCCGCCUGGGGAGUACGAUCGCAAGAUUGAAACUUAAAGGAAUUGGCGGGGGAGCACCACGAGGGGUGAAGCUUGCGGUUUAAUUGGAGUCAACGCCGGAAAUCUCACCGGGAGCGACGGCAGUGUGAGAGCCAGAUUAAAGGUCUUGCUAGACGAGCUGAGAGGAGGUGCAUGGCCGUCGCCAGUUCGUGCCGUGAGGUGUCCUGUUAAGUCAGGCAACGAUCGAGACCCGCGUCCUCUGUUGCAACCAGUCUUGUGCUGGGCACACUGAGGAGACCGCCGCUGAUAAAGCGGAGGAAGGAGCGGGCCACGGCAGGUCAGUAUGCCCCGAAUCUCCCGGGCCACACGCGAGCUGCAAUGGCAGGUACAAUGGGUUCCGACCUCGAAAGGGGAAGGCAAUCUCGAAAGCCUGCCGUAGUUGGGAUCGGA
rnacentral:rRNA from 1 species